GCGCACCAGGCGCGAAACUUCACACUGUGCGAAAGCACGAUGAGGGAAUCCCAAGUGCUUGCACGUAAGUGUAAGCUGUUUCUCUGUUUAAAACGCAGAGAGAGUAAGGGCUGGGUAAGACGGGUGCCAGCCGCCGCGGUAAUACCUGCAGCCCAAGUGGUGACCGUUAUUAUUGGGCCUAAAACGUCCGUAGCCGGUUUAAUAAAUGCCUGGGUAAAUCGUGUAGCUUAACUAUACGAAUUCCGGGUAGACUGUUAAACUCGAGACCGGGAGAAGUUAGAGGUACUCCUGGGGUAGAGGUGAAAUUCUGUAAUCCUAGGGGGACCACCAGUGGCGAAGGCGUCUAACUAGAACGGGUCUGACGGUGAGGGACGAAGCCCUGGGGCGCAAACGGGGAUUAGAUACCCGCGUAGU
rnacentral:rRNA from 1 species